UACUGAGACGCGACAAAGAUUACACUCAAGAAACGGUUAUCAACUAACAAUUAUCAGAAAUCUCUGCAUUCGAAAUGGAUUCAACGAAGAUACCUCCUUCGUUCUUAAAAUUUAUUGGAGAAGAUAUUGUGUUUUUGACCAUACCAUCUGACUUUGCAACUAAUCUGUGGGGAGAUAAAGUCCCCUAUGGUAAAACAGUACAAAUAAGAGAUGGUGGCAGUUUGAGGUUUGUAAGGAUCAGAAACAGAAAUGGAGAACCUAUAUUUACUGACGGAUGGAUUAUGUU